rnacentral:rRNA from 1 species
CAGCCGCCGCGGGAAUACGGAGGGGGCUAGCGUUGUUCGGAAUUACUGGGCGUAAAGCGCACGUAGGCGGCUUGGUAAGUUAGAGGUGAAAGCCUGGAGCUCAACUCCAGAAUUGCCUUUAAGACUGCCGAGCUAGCAGGUGAGAGAGGUAAGUGGAAUUCCGAGUGUAGAGGUGAAAUUCGUAGAUAUUCGGAAGAACACCAGUGGCGAAGGCGGCUUACUGGCUCAUACUGGACGCUGAGGUGCGAAAGCGUGGGGAGCAAACAGGAUUAGAGACCCCCGUAGUCCCUGUCUCUUAUAC